UAACUGUAAAAAUGUCAAAAACAGUUCUGAAGUUAACACCUGUUAGCAAACUGUGUUAAUCCUCUCACCUUUUGUUAAUUUAUUAAUACUCACUGUUUGGUCCUCACAUUGUUUCUUCACAUUGCCUCAGAGUCUGAUCUAUACAGCUACCACCCGCCAUACAUGCUGACCUGCGUGUCACUCUCAAACGCCUUGUACACGCAGCAGCCAUCAUUCCCAACACCACCACGCUGACUGAUGACACAGCUUCACAGAUGCCUGUCAUCUCCAUACAGGGCUGGCAAAACGGUGAACAAGAGUGACCCGGCAACAGCUUGCUUGUCACUCUUUAAAAAAAAACAAGAAGGGGACCCUGACAGGUGCCGGGGGCCCAGAGGAUCGAUAUAUCUAUGCUCGGCUAACAAGCGGUUAUAUUUAGCCUCCAGACAAGUGUCAAAGCGUGGCUAUGUGGGUUCCCACCUGCAUGAAACUUCCAUUUCUGUCAUUUCGUCAUGAACGGCAAAACCUAGCGGGAAUGGGGAUAGACCUGUCUGUGUGUGGAACGCUUGAUGCUGAGAGAAUACGGUGCCUCUGGACAACUGCCUGCUUCAUUUCCCUUUGGACCACUAAAGCAGGAUGUAUCUGAUAUCAUCUACAAGUUCAUUCAACUACAUCUCAUCUCAAUGAACAGACACAUUUUCAUUAAAAGCUUUGUCAAUUGCAGUCUAGUAACUGUUCAUUUGAUAAAAUGUCUAAGGCCAUAAAUUAAAAGUGAAAGUCAAAUAAUGUAGAUGAGCAUGCAAGAAGAGAACAGAAUUAGAAGUUCUUUGUGUCUGUCUGAUAGGAAGUGUCAGAGGUGCUGAAGAAUGUGGGUUUGGUUUUAAGAGGAAAUAAAAUGAU